CUCCUGGCGCAGGGUUGCCUACACCCUUCAGUCUGCGGGGGAAAAGGCCAAGCACCAUAGAAGGAGUCGACCCACCCUUGAAGAGGCCCGUUUGAUCAGCUUUGACCCAAGCACACACCCGUGAGAACGUCACCACCUUCCAGGACGGCAGUCGCUUCCUCUGUCCCCAGAAGUGUCCUUUGCCUCUUUGGGAACGACCUGUCCCAAGCCUGCAGCAGCUGCAGGCCUGCUCUCAGUCACCACAGAUCCAUUUGCAUUUUCUAGAAUUUUACGUAAAUGGUAUCGUGCGCUGUGUACUUUUUUGGUCUGGCUUCUUUCACUCAGCUUUUUGAGUGAAAUGUUUUGAGAUUCCUCCACGUUGUAGUUCGACCCAGUCAUUGGCUCCAUCUUGUCGCCGAGCAGUCGUCCUGGUUUGGGUGAGCCUGUCUGCUCCUCCAUCCCCCACUGGGGGCCACUGGGAGGCUUCUGGUUUGUGAUCCUUACAAACGGAGCUGCUGGAACAGGGUCAGAUCCACCUUCAGAGACACGCGUGUGAGAGGAGGCCACGCUGGAGACACGCGUGUGAGAAGAGGAGGCUGUGUGUGAGAGGAGGCCGUGCUGCAGACACGCGUGUGAGAGGAAGCUGCGCUGGCCUCCUGUCCCCUCACCCCGGACUCUGUGUGCGCUGCCUUCAUACCUUACAGACCCUCACUAACUACAGGGUUAUUAUUGUUCUCUAGUUAUCUUUUAAAGAGCCUUCAAUAAAAUGAGCAA
ensembl:lncRNA